GUGGAUUAGAUACCCUGGUAGUCCUAGCCGUAAACGAUGGGCACUAGGUGUGGGGGGUCAUCGACUCCCUCCGUGCCGAAGCUAACGCAUUAAGUGCCCCGCCUGGGGAGUACGGCCGCAAGGCUAAAACUCAAAGGAAUUGACGGGGGCCCGCACAAGCAGCGGAGCAUGUGGCUUAAUUCGACGCAACGCGAAGAACCUUACCAGGGCUUGACAUGCAGGGAAAAACGGCGGAAACGUCGUGUCCGAAAGGGCCCUGCACAGGUGGUGCAUGGCCGUCGUCAACU
rnacentral:rRNA from 1 species